rnacentral:rRNA from 1 species
CAGCCGCCGCGGGAAUACGGAGGGGGCUAGCGUUGUUCGGAAUUACUGGGCGUAAAGCGCACGUAGGCUGCUUUGUAAGUCAGAGGUGAAAGCCCGGGGCUCAACCCCGGAUGUGCCUUUGAGACUGCAGGGCUAGAACGUCGGAGAGGUGAGUGGAAUUCCGAGUGUAGAGGUGAAAUUCGUAGAUAUUCGGAAGAACACCAGUGGCGAAGGCGGCUCACUGGACGACUGUUGACGCUGAGGUGCGAAAGCGUGGGGAGCAAACAGGAUUAGAUACCCGUGUAGUCCCUGUCUCUUAUAA